rfam:Sphaerochaeta globosa str. Buddy, complete genome.
GUUCGUAGUGUACCGUAUGGUAUAAAACACUAUAUCUUGUGUGUAUAGGAAAAGGGAAGUGGGUGAAAAGCCCACACGGUCCCGCCGCUGUAAAGGGGAGAUUUUGCAUAUAGCCACUGGAGCAAUCUGGGAAGGAAGCGAAAUCGAUGAACCUGAGUCAGAAGACCUUGCCUAUACAGACACGCCGUCA